UAUGAAGGGGACUAGCGUUGUUCGGAAUCACUGGGCGUAAAGCGCACGUAGGCGGAUGUGUCAGUCAGGGGUGAAAUCCCGGGGCUCAACCUCGGAACUGCCUUUGAUACAGCACGUCUCGAGUCCGGAAGAGGUGGGUGGAAUUCCUAGUGUAGAGGUGAAAUUCGUAGAUAUUAGGAAGAACACCGGUGGCGAAGGCGGCCCACUGGCUCGAUACUGACGCUGAGGUGCGAAAGCGUGGGGAGCAAACAGG
rnacentral:rRNA from 1 species